AGCAUAUCAAUAAGCGGAGGAAAAGAAACUAACAAGGAUUCCCUUAGUAACUGCGAGUGAAGUGGGAAGAGCUCAAAUUUGAAAUCUGGCAGUCUCUGGCUGUCCGAGUUGUAAUCUAGAGAAGUGUUGCCCGCGCUGGACCGUGUACAAGUCUCCUGGGAUGGAGCGUCAUAGAGGGUGAGAAUCCCGUCUCUGACAUGGACUACCAGGGCUUUUGUGGUGCGCUCUCAAAGAGUCGAGUUGUUUGGGAAUGCAGCUCAAAAUGGGUGGUAAAUUCCAUCUAAAGCUAAAUAUUGGCGAGAGACCGAUAGUGAACAAGUACCGUGAGGGAAAGAUGAAAAGAACUUUGGAAAGAGAGUUAAACAGUACGUGAAAUUGCUGAAAGGGAAACGCUUGAAGUCAGUCGCGUUGGCCAGGGAUCAGCCUUGCUUCUUAGUGUGGUGUACUUCCUGGUUGACGGGUCAGCAUCGGUUUCGACUGCUGGAGAAAGGCUUGGGGAAUGUGGCAGCUCUGGCUGUGUUAUAGCCUCCUGUCAGAUACAGUGGUUGGGACUGAGGAACGCAGCAUGCCGCAAGGCCGGGGCUAAUAUCAGCCUACGUUCAUGCUUAGGAUGUUGACAUAAUGGCUUUAA
rnacentral:rRNA from 1 species